AGCUCUAAUAGCGUAUAUUAACGUUGUUGCAGUUAAAAAGCUCGUAGUUGAAAUUCCGGCGUUUAGCGCCUGUCAGGAAAUAUUUAGGAUAGCGUAAAAACUUUCUUAAUUAUGAACUGACUUUUACUGUGAACAAAUUAAAGUGCUUAAAGCAGGCAAUCGCUUGAAUAUUUUAGCAUGGAAUAAUAGAAUAUGACUUUGUUCAUUUUUUUGGUUAUUGGAUGAAGUAAUGGUUAACAGGAACAGUUGGGGGCAUUUGUAUUUAAUAGUCAGAGGUGAAAUUCUUAGAUUUAUUAAAGACAAACUAAUGCGAAAGCAUUUGCCAAGAAUGUUU
rnacentral:rRNA from 1 species